ensembl:lncRNA
GUUUUGUGGAAACUGUUUUUAUUUAGGCUCUCACUCUGGUGUAUGUUAAACAUGGUAAGAUUGAAGUUUCAGGCUGUGUUGGGCUGCUCAGGCUGGGCUGCUCAGGGCCUCAGGUACACAAUGUCAGCUUCAUUCGAUCCACACAAGCGGUAAGUAGUCAUCAUUUAUGUUACACAGCGAUGUUGUCUUGAACUUAAAUCAACCUAAACAUGCAAUGGACCGGGGGGACACAUUCAAAUCGUGUGAUGAGGAGGAGCUUUUGGGUGUGUUAUCACAGGAAAUGACACGGUCCUCCACUCAAACCCCUUUCAUUCCUCUCUUCUCCCUCACAGUCUUUUUGAGAUUGGGGAUUCCAUUCCGAUGCACUUUCCCACCGCCACCUGUGCGUCCUCCUCCUCCUAAGUUUUUGCACAGAUGUAACGUGUCUUGGGAACGACCCCAUCAUGUUUCGCUGCUCCUUUCCCAGCAUAAUCCCUGCUGAGUCCUGGGACUAGAAAUCCAAAGAAAGCUGGGUUUCCAUGACUGUAAAAAAAUAAAAAAAAUAAAUGUUUGUUCUUUCUAAUCAUGGAAUUGACAGGGCCAGGGUGUGGAACCAAGCGCGGACACAGAGAGGAGGUGUCGUGCACAGAUGUUCAGUGUAGGAAUAGGCAGACUCCUGGUCGGCAGGCAGGCAGAGGUCGGACGAUGAAUCGGAAUCCUAGAGGUACAGAGGAAUUGGCUGGUUCGAGGUCGGGUGGCGGGCAAAGGUCGUAACGAGGUGGUCCACAAGGCAGAAGCACAGGGGGACAGGCAGGCUCGGGGUCAGGGACAGAAGGGGUUCGGUCACUGGGACGGCUGAGCAGAGAACGGGUAACAGGAGACAGGUAACUAGGGAGUGGAUGCUGGAAACGCAUGAAAAGACAACAGGAUCUGGCAAAGGGCGACCAGAAAACACAGGCAUAACGGGGACACAGGAGACACUUGUGUCUCACGACAAUAGUGAGACAGGUGAAACCAAUCAGGGCGUGACUGGGAUAGCUUACCUAUAAUCUGUGUGAUGUUUAAGAGAAAAACUAUUGAUAAAGGUACAAACACCAUCAUUCUUAUUACUAAAGCGGUAAAAAUUUAUUCAGCAUUUGAGAAGUGGCAUCUUGUACUAUAUAGCUGCAUUUAUGUAAGCAGAACGUGCAUUUGGAUUCAAACAACUUCUUAAAUUUGUUCCUACACCUCUUUGCCAUAUUGUUGGCAGGACUGGUGAGAGUUUCAGGACAGCUGACUGACAUCAUUGUCUUAUUUCCUUGAUAGUUUGGUUGUCCAUCCAUAAAACGUUAACAUAUUUUUGCCUCUUCCAAUUUUAAUUUAAAACUGAUAUAGGGCCAUCUGUAUUCACAGCAUCCUAAAUGUAUAACUUAAUAAUAUUAAUAAGCCUCUAUAAAACGGACAAUGGCGUCAUAGUGAUAAUUAAUUGCAGCAAAAAUGACGUGCAAGUAGUCAAUCGUUUUCUAGGGAGACAAGACUGCGUUGUUUUCUCUCAGAUUAAUUAUCUCCAACAUCCCCCUAUAGGUCAAAUAUAGAUAGUAAUCCCUUUUCACGCCGUAUGUUUCCAUAAAAUAUUCAACAAAAAAAAAAAAAGGGGGGGGGGGGGGUUGAAAUCAGACAGACCCUGCCCUGGCUUUACAUGCAGUAUAUUCAGCGCACACUUAAAAUGAAUGACUCUGGGUCUUCAUCUGUCAUGCCAUUGUACUAUUUGCAGUCAAUGUACGAAUGGAAACAGCCGCCUGCAACAGUCCUCUCUCUCGCACACACACCCGCAUAAAAACACGCAUAUGUUGCUACCAAAUAACCAACACACAAAAAGUCUUAGGGAGCCCAUAACUUGAGCCCUGGGUAGGCAACUUACCAGAUGAAAAAAGCGCGGUCACAUCUGUUCGGCUGUGACGUAUUUUACCUGGCUGCAGGCAAUUAACGCUGCACAAAUUACUAAAAAGGGUUUUAAAAACCUAGUUACUGAAAAAAAAAGUGUGAGAGUAGUGUAUGCGUAUAUGUGUCAAAUUAGGCCUAAUGUACGUUUCAUAAAAAUAAUAGCAAUACCAAUGAUUG